GGCAGAUUUUAGUUGGAGUCUGUCUACUAGAAAUGAAUAGAACUGACAGUACAAGACCAGACCCUCUCCUUAACUAACCAUCCCCACUCUCUUGUCUCCUGUGAGUGCAGCUACAAGUCGGUGAAAACUGAGCGCGAAGGCCCUUUCUUAUUUAUCUCUCGCAGAUAUUGCCGCAUUACUGUACAACCACUCCUGUUGCCCUCUGCCCAAUUCAAUGCCUAAAGCCACAGCCAACAACAAAAACAAAC
rnacentral:misc_RNA from 1 species